UGGAAAUUAUAUUUUGGGCAUAAAAUACAUUCAUAAAAGUUAAAGUUUGGUAAAAAAUAAUAAACCUAAAAGAAAAUGGAAAUUUUAAGGCAUUUUGUGGUAAAUGCCUAAUUUUGCCGAAAUGGGGAAUUUUAUUCCAUGAAUGGACCUUAGGUUAAAUUUUAUUAUGUGAUUAAUUAAAUUUAAAUGUGAGAGACAUUAAAUUUAAUUAAUUAAUGUUAAGUUUGGUGAUUAAAACUUAAUAAGAGUGAAAAAAUGUGUCAAAAGCCAAUUUGGACUUUUCUUCUUAUGAAACCUUUAUUAACCUUUAUAAAAAAUAAAAAAAAUAAAAAAAAAAUUAAUGAUCACAUAUAUGGCAAAGGGUGGCCGGCCAUGUGCUAUUGUAGAGUGGUGUGAACCCAAUUUUAUAAAGUUUAACUCCCAUUUUAAUUAAGAAGUCAAGUGGGCAAGUGGGUAGAAAAGCACUCAAGUAUUUUGUGAUAUUUUGAAGAGUUGUGUGAGCCAUUCUAACCCCCAAAUCCGACCACUCUCCCUCCCUCAUUCACUCUCAUCUGAUUUUUGAAGACUCUCUCAAGUGUUCUCUCAAUUUUCAACCCCAAGAACACCAAAGAAACUUGGAAGCUAAGUCUUGGUCUAGGAAGGGUUUUCCCUAAGUUGGUUAGGGUUUUUGAAAGGUUUUGGAGGAGCCAAAGCUAAUAGGAAGGUCCAAACCUUAAGCAAGAACACCAAAGAGGUAAGGGCAAGGGCAAGGCAGAGCAGUGGACCAACCUUUUGGGAAGCCGUUUUAUUUUUGGAAAUGUUGUGUAAUUUUCCUAAACAAGGCUCACUCUACUCUUUAUAAAAUAUGUUGUAACUAAAUGUUAAGUAUGGCCAUACGACUUUUUAAAAAGUUUUUUUUAUACAGGUUUUUGAGACAUUUUGUUAAAUGAAAACAUUUAUAUUUCCGCA